rnacentral:misc_RNA from 1 species
CAUUUUGCACUUGGACCUGA